UGCUAGGUCGUCAAGUGGUAAGACAAUGGUAUCAUAAACCAUCAUUACGUAGGUUCGAAUCCUGCCCUAGCAACCG
rnacentral:tRNA from 1 species